GGGGGUGAACUGUGGUUAAGGAACUCGGCAAAUUGCCCCCGUAACUUCGGGAGAAGGGGGACCUCUGCUGGUGAUGGGCUUUACGUUCUGAGCUGGUGGGGGUCGCAGUGGCCAGGGGGAAGCGACUGUUUACUAAAAACACAGGUCCGUGCGAAGUCGUAAGACGAUGUAUACGGACUGACGCCUGCCCGGUGCCGGAACGUUAAGGGGACCGCUUAGCCAGCUUCGGUUGGCGAAGGUGAGAACUUAAGCGCCGGUAAACGGCGGUGGUAACUAUAACCAUCCUAAGGUAGCGAAAUUCCUUGUCGGGUAAGUUCCGACCUGCACGAAUGGCGUAACGACUUCCCCGCUGUCUCAACCACAGACCCGGCGAAAUUGCACUACGAGUAAAGAUGCUCGUUUCGCGCAGCAGGACGGAAAGACCCCGGGACCUUCACUACAGCUUGACAUUGGCGUUUGGAACGUCUUGUGUAGGAUAGGUGGGAGACUAGGAAGCUGUCACGCUAGUGAUGGUGGAGUCAUUGGUGAAAUACCACUCUGGUCGUUUUGAACGUCUAACUCUGGUCCGUGAUCCGGAUCGGGGACAGUGUCUGGUGGGUAGUUUAACUGGGGCGGUUGCCUCCUAAAGAGUAACGGAGGCGCCCAAAGGUUCCCUCAGCCUGGUUGGCAAUCAGGUGUUGAGUGUAAGUGCACAAGGGAGCUUGACUGUGAGACUGACAGGUCGAGCAGGAGCGAAAGCUGGGACUAGUGAUCCGGCAUCGGCGUGUGGAAGCGGUGUCGCUCAACGGCUAAAAGGUACCCCGGGGAUAACAGGCUGAUCUUCCCCAAGAGUCCAUAUCGACGGGAUGGUUUGGCACCUCGAUGUCGGCUCGUCGCAUCCUGGGGCUGGAGUAGGUCCCAAGGGUUGGGCUGUUCGCCCAAUAAAGCGGUACGCGAGCUGGGUUUAGAACGUCGCGAGACAGUUCGGUCCCUAUCCGCUGCGCGCGCAGGAGACUUGAAGGGGGCUGUCCCUAGUACGAGAGGACCGGGACGGACGAACCUCUGGUGUGCCAGUUGUACCGCCAGGUGCACGGCUGGUUGGCUACGUUCGGAAGGGAUAACUGCUGAAAGCAUCUAAGCGGGAAGCUCGCCUUGAGAUGAGGUCUCCCACCCCGUGAGGGGGUAAGGCUCCCGGUAGAUCACCGGGUUGAUAGGCCGGAGGUGGAAGCACGGUAACGUGUGGAGCUGACCGGUACUAAUAGGCCGAGGACUUGACUA
rnacentral:rRNA from 1 species